CUCCAUCUCCAGUUUACAUAUACAAGUCACCACCUCCUCCAUCACCUACUUAUGUUUACAAGUCACCACCACCACCAGUGAAGUCACCUCCCUAUUACUAUCAAUCUCCACCUCCACCAUCACCAAAACCUCAGCCUCCUUAUUAUUAUCACUCUCCACCUCCUCCAACACCAGUUGUUAAGCCACCAUACUACUACCAAUCUCCACCUCCUCCAUCUCCAAAACCUAAGCCUCCAUACUACUACCAAUCUCCUCCUCCUCCAUCACCAAAACCUAAACCUCCUUACUACUACCAAUCUCCACCUCCUCCAUCACCAAAACCUCAGCCUCCAUACUACUAUCAAUCUCCACCUCCUCCAACACCAGUUGUGAAGCCACCAUACUACUACCAAUCUCCACCUCCUCCAUCACCAAAACCUCAGCCUCCUUACUAUUACCAAUCUCCACCUCCUCCAACACCAGUUGUUAAGCCACCAUACUACUAUAAAUCUCCACCUCCCCCAUCACCCUCUCCUCCACCACCAUACUACUACAAAUCUCCACCACCACCAUCCCCAUCACCGCCACCUCCAUACUACUAUAAAUCUCCACCUCCACCAUCACCGGUUGUUAAGCCACCAUACUACUAUAAAUCCCCACCUCCCCCAUCACCCUCUCCUCCCCCUCCAUACUACUAUAAAUCUCCACCUCCAUACUACUACCACUCUCCACCUCCACCAUCACCAGUUGUUAAGCCACCAUACUACUACAAAUCUCCACCUCCACCAUCACCCUCACCUCCCCCUCCAUACUACUAUAAAUCUCCACCCCCACCUUCACCAUCCCCUCCUCCUCCAUACUAUUAUAAAUCACCACCACCACCAUCCCCAUCACCGCCACCUCCAUACUAUUACAAAUCCCCUCCACCUCCAUCCCCAUCUCCACCGCCUCCUUAUUACUAUCACAGUCCUCCUCCACCAUCUCCCACUCCUCAUCCUCCCUACUACUACAAAUCCCCUCCACCACCAACGUCCUAUCCUCCACCUCCUUACCACUAUGUGAGCCCUCCACCACCUUCUCCAUCUCCACCUCCACCAUACUAUUACAAAUCACCACCUCCUCCCUCCCCAGCCCCCGCUCCAAAGUACAUUUACAAAUCACCUCCAC
rnacentral:lncRNA from 1 species